ensembl:antisense
CGGGCCGACAUGCUGUACGCGUGCCUCAGCUUGGCCGAACAAGGGCCCUGUCUUUUCGUAACCGGUGCUGUCUCAUUCUCAUCCGCCAUGUUUAACCAGGAAGUGAGGAUCUCGCCCUGCGCUCUCACACCCCGCAAAACCAUUGGUGGACUGCCGCAAAGCCCGACGGUGGUCUCACUGUGAAGAGUUCCAGCACCUCGAGAGCCCGGCUCAGGGGCUUUUCCUUCGGUAAGGUACUUGCGGAAAGAAACCUUUCCAGAAAUCAUGACAAAAUCAUCAGGCCUUGCCUAUCCUCUCAGAAACGGUUUUAAUAUGAACUCCUCGCCGUACCACCUUGACAUGGAUGAAGAGGGUGGCAGGAGAAAGAGUGGAGCCGUCAGCUUUCAGCAGGUGGACGUGACGAUAACCUGAAAAAUAUCACAAUAACAAACAUGGAAGAAAAAUGUAGUUAAGUAAUAUGUGCCUUACAAAAAUUAACCAUGGAUUUUUUUUUUUUUUUUUUAAAUAGAAGUAAUCAUGGUUUUUGAGUUAACUAUGGUUUAACUACAUAAUCCAUGUAGUGUUUUUAAGGGGUACCAAAUAAAUCACAAUUUAAAACUUG